GCGCCUGUAGCUCAGUUGGAUAGAGCGAUGGACUUCGAAUCCAGAGGUCGCGCGUUCAAAUCGCGCCAGGCGCGCCA
rnacentral:tRNA from 1 species